rnacentral:rRNA from 1 species
AAAGCCAGUGCCCCGGCGGGCAUUGGCGAUGUGGGGUAGAGGGGUGUUGCCUAGCCAGCGGGCCGAGUCAAAAUCCGUUGGAAAACGGUGCCAUGGAGGGUGAGAGCCCCGUCUAUGGCUCGGAACUCGCGGCGUCCGGCACAUCUCGGACGAGUCGAGUUGUUUGGGAAUGCAGCUCCAAGUGGGUGGUGAAUUCCAUCCAAAGCAAAAUACGGGCGAGAGACCGAUAGCGGACAAGUACCGUGAGGGAAAGAUGAAAAGAACUUUGAAAAGAGAGGUAAGAGUGCUUGAAAUUGUUGGGGAGGAAGUUUUGGGUGUGUGGAGUGUAUGGGGUGGGUGCAGGUGCGUCCUGUGCCCCCCUGGUCUGCCGGGGUUGCAAGUAUGUUGCGAGGGUAGCGUGGAGGUGUAGACUCCUGCGCAUGACCUGCAAGCAUAUGCGACCGAGGUGAGUAAGCGGGAGCGUUGAAGUCUGUGAGUGUUGUGGUAUGGGCGGGUAGGACGUGUGUGGGUUGUUCUGUAUGGGACAACAUUGCAUGCGGACGUUUGUGUUGCU